ensembl:lncRNA
AUCAGUCCAAUUAGGAAGCCGGUCCUGUGCAUCCAUUAUGGGCUCCUACUGCCCACGGGGCUCAGCAAAUAUGUCACAGACGUGUUGCCGGCAGAGGACGGAGAGCUUGAGUCAAAUGUUCUUUUCCCACCCCGAAGUAGCACAGAACAUGAUGAUUUGAGACAGACGUUUUUUUGUAGAGUUAUUUUUUUGUAGGUUUUCCUCGCUUUGGGUUUUUCUAAACCAAAAGCCCACGGGAUGGGUUUUUAUAAAUAAACAGUCAGGCUAAAUGCGGUCUGGGUGUGUGGGAGAGACAUGACAGCAGAACUGACAGGGAGCCACAUUCCUCACCACGGCCUCUAUACCAAAUGUCACCGUCUGGAAACAUUCCCACGUGCACCAAGAGCGGUUCAGAACAUGCACAGGUGUUGAGGAGCGACAGGACUGGGGACAAUGAACCGGUCAUACGCAGCGAGCUCAAUCUUUUCAGCGUACACUCCAUAGAUCUGACUGACCCGAAAGACCCCAGACCUGUGUCUACUCUGAAGGAGGUCCAGGCUGGACUUGGACGAUAGGCAGCGGUAAAACAAGUUGGCGCUUUCUACAUUACCAGCAUUUCCACAAGGCUGACUGUGUAAUGAGGCUUUAGUAUUCAGUAUCAAGGCGGCCGAUACCUUCAUGCACCUGGCCCUGGGAUGCAAGUCUUUCUAAAGGAUGGUCCCUUUGCUUUGGGAGAGAGCCCUGCUUAAUAUUCUCCUGAUCUAACGGACCAUGUGUAGAGGACAGGUGUUCCGGUCCCGUCCCACUGGGAGGAGACCCUGGGGAAGACCUAGGACACACUGGAGGGACUAUGUCUCCCGGCUGGCCUGGGAACGCCUCGGUGUCCCCCCGGAAGAGCUGGAGGAAGUGUCUGGGGAGAGGGAAGUCUGGGCAUCUCUGCUUAGACUGCUGCCCCCGCGACCCGGCCUCGGAUGAAGCGGAAGAAGAUGCCAUGCCAUCUUUUGUUUGUUGUUGAGCUCUGCUCAAAACCAACAACUCCUCCAGGUGUUCUAUGACUAGUUCAUAACCAAUAACUCCUCCAGGUGUUCUAUGACUAGUUCAUAACCAACAACUCCUCCGGGCGUUCUAUAUAGAUGUUCUAUACAUAAAGGGUUUAUAACAUAUUCACACUAUAUCUAUCCUACAACCACCCAAGCAGAAAGAUAAAAAUAUUUAUAUAAACUAAAUUAUCAAAAUGUAUCAAAAUUGAAGAUUUAAAAAAAUAUAUAUACUUUUAAUGUCAACUAUAUUACUCUUUUGUUCCCCAGCAUUAAAGGACAUUAAAACCAUGGAC